rnacentral:rRNA from 1 species
UACGGAGGGAGCUAGCGUUGUUCGGAAUUACUGGGCGUAAAGCGCACGUAGGCGGCUUUGUAAGUCAGAGGUGAAAGCCUGGAGCUCAACUCCAGAACUGCCUUUGAGACUGCAUCGCUUGAAUCCAGGAGAGGUGAGUGGAAUUCAGAGUGUAGAGGUGAAAUUCGUAGAUAUUCGGAAGAACACCAGUGGCGAAGGCGGCUCACUGGACUGGUAUUGACGCUGAGGUGCGAAAGCGUGGGGAGCAAACAGG